rnacentral:rRNA from 1 species
CCUUGACAUACUAAGAACUUUCCAGAGAUGGAUUGGGUGCCUUCGGGAACUUAGAUACAGGUGCUGCAUGGCUGUCGUCAGCUCGUGUCGUGAGAUGUUGGGUUAAGUCCCGCAACGAGCGCAACCCUUUUUCCUUAUUUGCCAGCGGGUCAUGCCGGGAACUUUAAGGAUACUGCCAGUGACAAACUGGAGGAAGGCGGGGACGACGUCAAGUCAUCAUGGCCCUUACGGCCAGGGCUACACACGUGCUACAAUGGUCGGUACAAAGGGUUGCUACCUCGCGAGAGGAUGCUAAUCUCAAAAAGCCGAUCGUAGUCCGGAUCGCAGUCUGCAACUCGACUGCGUGAAGUCGGAAUCGCUAGUAAUCGCGGAUCAGAAUGCCGCGGUGAAUACGUUCCCGGGCCUUGUACACACCGCCCGUCACACCAUGGGAGUUUGUUGCACCAGAAGUAGGUAGUCUAACCGCAAGGAGGACGCUUACCACGGUGUGGCCGAUGACUGGGGUGAAGUCGUAACAAGGUAAGCGUAGAUGA